CAGAGAGUAGUUUAAUGUAAAAUAUUAAUUUUGGGGAUUAGUGAUAGGGUUAUUCCCUUUCUCUGA
rnacentral:tRNA from 1 species